rnacentral:sRNA from 1 species
AAAACUAUAACUGCUAGGAUAAAGCACACCGUGAUGACUAAAAGCAGAAAAAAAUACAAAGCAGAAUAAAGAGAUCCUUUGAGAUUAUCAUCGUCUGCGCAAUCCUUCCCUGUUACCACUGCAUUUGACAUCACAAUAGUUUCAGUGCCAUGGAAUAAUGCUAUUGGCCAGCUGAGAACCAGCGUAAAACAAACCGUCAAGGCAAGUAUUUUUUUAACUUUCCGAAUAGAAAUAUGUUUAAAGGGCUUGCAUAUUUUGUAAUAGCGAUCAAAUGCUAUACACACUAAUAAAAUGCUGGAACAAGAAGUGCAAAAUACCUCGAAGAAACGGACGGUUUUGCAAAUAGCUGGAUAGUUCCCACUGUACAUUGGAAAGCGAAGGUCAAGAGUCUCAAACACUAAGAGGAAACAUGUAAGAAUAUCAAACACCGCUAAACUUGUCACGAAAAAGUUUGCAGUUGACUUUUCAAAACGGAAUCCAAACACGUAUACAACCAAAGAAUUACCAGUCAACCCCAAAAUGAUGGAGAUUAUGUAAAUAAUGAGAGUUGGACGGUUUAACUCGUAUUGUCUCUCAUUUGAAAUCCAUAAUAGAUAUUCGGCAGCUAAAAGUGAUUGUGUUGUGCUGCCAGUGUCGUUAGCUACAGAAGACGUCAAGUUAGAGGUCAAAGGUUGAGUUGACAUGAUGGAAUAGUCUUUCCAAAUAAAUGUCAAUGUGGAACGCUAUCUGUCCUUGUCCUUUUAAUUCAGUCUGUAUCCAAUGCACGAACCCUACAACAGAUAUAACAAACAUUAAACCAUGAACCAAGUGGUAUUUUCUGUUGAGAACCAACUGAACAACAGUGCUUGUUAACUUCUAUGGAGGGGUGAAUGAAUUCCCUAUAAUAAAUAUUUUCGUCCAU